rnacentral:rRNA from 1 species
AACGAACGCUGGCGGCAUGCCUAACACAUGCAAGUCGAACGAGACCUUCGGGUCUAGUGGCGCACGGGUGCGUAACGCGUGGGAACCUGCCCUUAGGUUCGGAAUAACUCCCCGAAAGGGGUGCUAAUACCGGAUAAUGUCUUCGGACCAAAGAUUUAUCGCCUUUGGAUGGGCCCGCGUUGGAUUAGCUAGUUGGUAGGGUAAAAGCCUACCAAGGCGACGAUCCAUAGCUGGUCUGAGAGGAUGAUCAGCCACACUGGGACUGAGACACGACCCAGACUGCUAGGGGAGGCAGGAGUGGAAUAUGUAGGAGACUGGUGGGAAGUCGGGUGCAGGAGUGGGGCGGGUGUGAUGUAGGGCUUAGGUGUGUAAAGCUCUGCCCCGGGGAAUGAGAAAGCCAGUGCCGGGCUAAGAGCCUGCGGCUAACCCCGGGAAAGGAGGCGCGGGUAUGAUGGGCAGAGAACACGCUGAA